AAGCAGUUGGAUGACUCUUUAUUGUUAUGAUAUCUUAUGUGACUCUUUAUUGUUAUGAUAUUUUAUGUGAUAAAUUUUUCAGAAAAAAUUUUUUUGGCUGAAAUAGGUCUAACUUCCUGCUACAUAAUAAUAAAACUAUAAAACUAAUAAAUUGAGUUGAGUUGAGUUGAGUUGAGUUGUGUGGGGCUCCGGUCCAUAAUAAACUUAACUGUAAAAAAUCCAAUAAUAAAUCUAACCUCUAGAUAGAUUGAGUCAGAUUGAAAUCCCGUGAGCAACAUGGCUAAGCCCUUGAGUACGAUGAGUGCGCCUUUUCUAUCGGCACAUGCCUUUCAGAUUAUUAGUUAGUUAGUUAGUA
rnacentral:lncRNA from 1 species